rnacentral:rRNA from 1 species
GAUCCUGGGCUCAGGAUGAACGCUAGCUACAGGCUUAACACAUGCAAGUCGAGGGGCAGCAUGAACUUAGCUUGCUAAGUUUGAUGGCGACCGGCGCACGGGUGAGUAACACGUAUCCAACCUUCCGUUUACUCAGGGAUAGCCUUUCGAAAGAAAGAUUAAUACCUGAUAGUAUGGUGAGAUUGCAUGAUAACACCAUUAAAGAUUUAUUGGUAAACGAUGGGGAUGCGUUCCAUUAGGUAG